rnacentral:rRNA from 1 species
GCGGAGGAAAAGAAACUAACAAGGAUUCCCCUAGUAACGGCGAGCGAAGCGGGAAGAGCUCAAAUUUGAAAGCUGGCGUCUUCGGCGUCCGCGUUGUAAUCUCGAGACGUGUUUUCCGUGCGGCUCUAUGGACAAGUCCCUUGGAACAGGGCAUCGUAGAGGGUGAAAAUCCCGUACUUGCCAUGGAAGUACCGUGCUUUGUGAUACACGCUCCAAGAGUCGAGUAGUUUGGGAUUGCUGCUCAAAGUGGGUGGUAGACUCCAUCUAAAGCUAAAUAUCGGGGAGAGACCGAUAGCGAACAAGUACCGUGAGGGAAAGAUGAAAAGCACUUUGGAAAGAGAGUUAAAAGUACGUGAAAUUGUCGAAAGGGAAGCACUUGAAGUCAGCCAUGCUGCUUGAGACUCAGCCUGGCUUUUGCUUGGUGUAUUUCUCGGUAGCAAGCCAGCAUUGGUUUGUGUCGUCGGAGAAGCGUAUGGGGAAUGUGGCAUCCUCGGAUGUGUUAUAGCCCUGUGCAGGAUACGACGACGUAGACCAAGGAACGCAGUGUGCCCUCUGGGCGGGUCUUCGGACACCUUCACACUUAGGAUGCUGGCGUAAUGGCUUUAAGUGGCCCGUCUUGAAAC